CGAACGAAUGCGAUGAAGUAUACCCGGCAAUGUUAAUACAUUCAUAUGUACAAUAUGUAUAUGUAUGCAUGUACGUACUUACAUACAGACACGUUAAUAUGUAGACGUGUACUCGUAUGAAUGAGGCGAUUCGCAUUGUAUGUAGAAGUCUUGCACUCGCACUCGUUGUCAACAGCGCAUCGUAGAUACUUUAUCCGUCGCAGUUAUACGAGCCGUCAGUCUAGUGUCAGAUACGAAGUUAUUCAGCUCAACGUGCGGAAGAAAAUUCAAAACAUAUUCUCACUGUAUUUAUGCUUUAUUGCUGGUAAAGUUUUUAACUGUUUUGAAUAAAUGCAUGUGAACAGAACGAAGGCAGAGCGCCGUAGAAGUAGUUAAAUAAAAUAAAUAAAAAAAAGGAAUUGUUGAUAAAAAAAAGUAUUAAUUUCACAAUUGUUGUGCUGAAGCAAUAAAUGUAUAAUUUUUAAAAAGCACUAGAACUUCAAGAGUGUGAAAAAUAAUUGAAGAAAUAGAUGUAAAUUUAAACAAAGUGAGAAAGCAAAAGUUUCAAAUAAAAAAAAAAUCAUUGUGUAAACCUCUAAAAAAGUGUGUGAAAGUUUUGAAAAUCAGCAAACAAACAAAAAAAUUAUAUUUAUAUAUACAGGAGAUUAAAAUAAAUGUUUGAAAAACAAAACAAUUCAUAAGAAAAAGUAUUUGCUGUGUUUAAUGUUUACACUACUAACCUGUAAUUAAUAAAGAAUCCUUGGUGUUUUACAAAAAAAAAAAAAAAAUCAGAAAAAAAUUAGAACGGAAAAAAUGUUAUAAAUGUACUUUUCACAUUUGAAUGUGUUCCAGCCAAGUUAAGAUUUUCAACAAUUCCAUAAUUUAAUGUAUAUAAUAAAUUAAUAAUAUUACACACAUACACACAUACAAAUAUCAUCAUCAAACCCUUGAAAAGUUUAAAUGAAAACAGCAUAAAAUUUAUAAAAAAAAAAAAACAUUAAUACCAAAGAGAAGAAAAAUUAAGCCAAGCUUAAAAAAAUUUCGUGCAUAUUGUGAUAGAUAGACAACAAAAGGACAAAAAGAAUUUUCGUGAACAUUUUUCUGCAUUUUCAAAAAUUCUGAGCAUUAAAAUAUACAUUUUGCAGCAGCAGAAGUUAAACAGCAGAAAAAAAUUAAAUACCCAAAAGUGUAAAUCCUCAAUUCGAAAAAAAAGUUUACAUACAUAUAUUGUAAAUAAACUUAUUUGCAGUGUUGUGUACUAGUGUGUGUUGAAAAAGCAAAAUUUAAAAAUAUUAUAUAGAGCAUUUGUGUGUAAAGCUCUUGCACCUCAAUAUCAAAUAAAUUUAAAACAAAUAUAAAAUUCGCAAUAUUUCGGAUUAUGAAAAGCAGCAGCGUUUCCAAAGAGCAGAAAUAAACAAAAAUAUUCUAGAUACGGCUUGGCAGUUACUCGAGCAUAAAUGGUGAGUGACUUGUUGAAAUCUCUAGUGAUUAAUCAGCGUAAGUUUAUUUCAACUGUGAUUUACACUGAUACUA